rnacentral:rRNA from 1 species
GACAGAGGGGGCAAGCGUUGCUCGGAAUUACUGGGCGUAAAGCGCACGUAGGCGGAAUGUUAAGUCAGGGGUGAAAUCCCGGGGCUCAACCCCGGAACUGCCUUUGAUACUGGCAUUCUCGAGUCCGGAAGAGGUGAGUGGAAUUCCGAGUGUAGAGGUGAAAUUCGUAGAUAUUCGGAGGAACACCAGUGGCGAAGGCGGCUCACUGGUCCGGUACUGACGCUGAGGUGCGAAAGCGUGGGGAGCAAACAGG